CGUUCUAUGGCCGAAUUGGUAAAGGCAUCGCCGAUCACAGGCGAGGGUGCGGGUUCGAGUCCCGCUGGAACGG
rnacentral:tRNA from 1 species